UGUGCCUACGGGGGGCAGCAGUGGGGAAUAUUGGACAAUGGGGGGAACCCUGAUCCAGCGACGCCGCGUGAGUGAAGAAGUAUUUCGGUAUGUAAACCUCUUUUGCCGGGGAGCAACGGGCGCCACGUGUGGCGCCACUGAGAGUACCCGGAGAAAAAGCAUCGGCUAACUCCGUGCCAGCAGCCGCGGUAAUACGGAGGAUGCGAGCGUUAUCCGGAUUUAUUGGGUUUAAAGGGUGCGUAGGCGGAUCGUUAAGUCAGUGGUCAAAUUGAGGGGCUCAACCCCUUCCCGCCAUUGAAACUGGC
rnacentral:rRNA from 1 species